rnacentral:lncRNA from 1 species
CUGCAUUAAUCCCAAACCAACCCGUUUAAGAGAUUGGAAAUGAAGCUCAGCAAAGAUCAAGGAAAAAUAAUACAGGACCAUCUCACUUGGCAUCACAUACCUUCAAACCACCAGGUUUGUCACCAAAGCUGUUGAUCUGACCUCUUCUUGAGUUGAGAUCACCAAUAACAUCACCCAAAUGUUCUUCAGGUGUGACCACUUCAACUUUCAUUAUAGGUUCUAGCAUUCUUGGACCAGCUUUCUUUAUCCCUUCCCUGAAAGCCCCUCUGGCCGCCAGUUGAAAUGCCAA